AAAACGCAUGACGUCAGGCGCGGCGCCAACUCGCAAACGCUAACAUGCUAGAGCUCUUUGCCUGUUGCUGGGGUACUUUAGACAGCACGGCUUUUGAUUGGUGCAUUUCAAAUUUAGCGCAAACGUGAUUGGUUGUUGUACUGACACUUGACAAAACCGACCGUUUCAAGAAAUUUCUCCUCUGGUCCCAGCAGAACAUUAUUCGGCUGACAACCAGGACCUGCUAAUGAAGUUAGGUGAGGCAGGUGUAAUGGUGACUGAAGUCGAAGCCCAGAGAUUCAGAGGUAACAGCAGUGUAAUGGUUCUCAAUCUGGCUUGAGGGGAAUCCCUACUGUCUAAACUCUACCUGGAAGCAAGGCAAGAGGCUCUCACAGAGGAUCUACCAGAUAUCAACUUCAGAGCAACCCUCAUCUUUUUGCCACACAUCUUCAAGGAGAACAUUGAGUGCUUUAUUACUCUUGGAAAGUUCCUGCCACUCCAUACCCAACUAUCCAGUUGACGGAUGAAGACUUGAAAAUGGCCUUCACUAGGAGAGCUCCGAACGUUGUGAAAGUGGACGGCAUCGAGUCACAGCUCAGCAAUUGACGAGGGAAUGUUUUGGCAAAUCAAGUACAUUUUGAACAUUGAUACCUUGUGGAUUCUUUGUGGUAAAAUGUUGGUUCCUCUGUCACUUUCAUGCAUAAAGUGUAAAGGUUGAUUGAGAAUGGACUUUACUAAAACCAGGUGAUGAAAUGGACUACUGAAUAUUUGACACUUAUUCUGUGGAUAACAGUUUUAUGUCACACUUCAACAUAGUAUUUUAAAAUGUACAAAAUUGACAAAAUCAUGUGAAAAUCUUAGAGCUUCUGUCAUGAGUGUUAUUUUCAUUUAUGCAGUUUUAAGGUAGCAAAGCUCAGUAAAAGAGUUUUGGGAAGUUUAACACAUAAUAGAGCAUGAACUGUUUUAAUAAUCAUUUGAGUCACCCUAAUAAUACAGUGGAGGCAAUUCAAAUAAAAUGUCUUCUGAUAUAGCUGGGAAGGAAUACAUGAAAAUUCAUGAAGAUUGGGCACUUCUGGAAAAGUUUUUUAUUUUCUGGCAGGGUGUUAGAUAUGGGCCUAUGGUUUUCAAAAAUCCAUAGAUACAAGUCGGGGCGGCCCCCCUAGUGGCAGUUAUCCAUAAAAUCCAAAAUGGCCCCCGCUGAAAAAACCCCAAAACAUACUUAAGUAUGUAUUGU